UUUCACCACUCGUUAAACACUUUCUAGACGCGUUCUGUACACGAAAUAUUCACGGUUCCUCGUUUCGAUACCAUUUCAUUUCAAAAGAAUUGCACGUACAUUUGCAUGUUCAUGCAAAUUAAAAUUUCGACGAAAGCAGAGGAAACUCGAAUAGAGAUCUGACCUUCUUCAGGCCCUCCGUGAAUUCAAUACGUAUUAAUAAAUUGAAACAAAAUAAUCGACGAUUUCUCGUUACGAAUAUCUUAAACGAAAGAACAAAUUGAAUUUGCACGGGCCGGCAUCAUUGUCAAAACUGUAACAUGGAACACGCAUAGCUGGUCCCUCGCAUUUCAUUCGAUGAAAUGAUCGUGUUGCUGAAUCUGAUCUCGCUCGUUGUCCACGCAUAAUCAUUUGCAAAUAGUUUCAGCCCCGCAAACUUAUCAGCUGUCAGUCGAUUUGACUUUGUAACGCGGUUGGACAGAUGCGCGUCGCUUUUAACGCGACGUGUCCAUUUUAUUUGGACAAGUUCAUCCUGCCUUUUAUGUUACAGUUCGUUUUUCUUUUAUGGUCUUUUAUCUAAAAAAAAAUCAGAGCCAUUAAUGAUAUGAAUGAAUUCAUAGACGCAUGAAAAUACGAGAAACGAAAAAUUCUAUACGAGUUUUUGCAAAUAUCCAAAGAAACUGAAGAGGGGUGAAUUGGACGAAACUCAAUAGCAAGUAUCAAAACACUCUGAUUCAAUAUAUAUAUAUAUAUGCGUAUUUGUCAAGUUAAUAAAUACGUCGUUUGCGAUUUUUUUACGAUUUCCGUAUCAACUUGGAUCGUAAAAUAGAAGCAAGAAAUUGCCAUUUUCCAACCGGCAAAUAUCGAAACUGGCGACAGCUGUUAAUGAUCCUCCACCGUCAAUGACCCGCCGUUCGUUUCGUUCUGUUCGAACGAAACGGCCGCCAUUGUAACGCCGCCCGUUUAUAUUCGCCUUGGAUUUUAACGAACCGCCCCGGUGUUCACUUAGUAGACUGUUACCGUCGUAAAAUAACGCGGGAUAUGAACGUAACGCGUGAAAUACGCUGUGAAUCACGCUUUAUAAACAUCGUUUCGCGCACGUGGUUUCAAUGAAAUUACAUCCGCGUGUCGAAAAGCGUACCGUGUAUCUGGGUAAUGGUGAAAAGUGUGUUCCGCGUGAGGUGUUACGCGCUAAUUUUAAUGAUUGAUGAUAGCCAUCGCAAACAAACUUUCAUCGUUCGAAUCUUUCUCUGACGGGCGAUCCCUUAAAAGACGUCGAACGAAAAGAAAGGAAAAACUUAUUGCUGUUGACACGCUUAAUAUGAAUUAAAUUUAACUUACCACGAUAGAUCGUUACGAUGAUUCAACAGUGUGAUAAUGACUCUUGGUUUAUCGACGAGAGCACCACACUGUGCUAAUACGAUUAUUCACCUCGAUAUAAUUUUCGGUUAAACGUAAAAGCUUCAAUUUUAUUCGAUAAACUUUAAAUCCAGUUAUCAUUGAAAUCGAAUUAAAAUAAAAUUGUAAAACCGAAAUUCACGAAAUUUUCGUAUUUAUAGAUUAUUUGCGUACACGCGCAAAUAAUUAAGAUUCAACAGCGAUAUAUUAAAGAUUCGUUCGCGGGGAACGAUGCAAAUAUUGAAACAGUUUUCAGAAUAGGAUGUGACAACGGUAUUUGGGACACGUUUGAAUAAUGUAGUUUUCCCGACACUGGCCGGAUAACGUUUCGCCGUAAAUUAUGUCCUUUUAUCGAUAACGCGGAUGAAAUCGAACGGAAUAAAAGUUGGAAAGUUAAAUAAAAGAAGAGGAGAAAGAAUAUUGGGAAUCAUCUUUUCAAACGUGUUGUGUAUCGUGUGUACGUCGUAUUUCAGUCUCCCCCCUUCCUCCCUCCCCGCUGGAACAAACAAACGGCGCUAUAGAAAUACGGCAACCUAUGGCGCAAGAGUCUGGCGAAAAAAUAACCAUCUCUCCGUGCCAUCCCAGAUGGGGGAAGACACCGCGGAAUAGAGACCUCAUUGACGAAACUAUGCGGAAACCAUUCGGCUCCGUUUGUUUUUCUUGCGGGUUGUCAAAGGCCCUUUGAAAUGUGGGACGAAGUACGUUGUAAAUCUUCUGUUUUACAAAGGAUUCGAUCGUUGUAUUUUGUAUUUCGUCUGUCUUGUCCGAGGCGAUUCGAGAAUUAAUUAACAAAUAUCGAAUUUCGUUUCCAAAUAUUCCAAAGUUAUAUAAAAAAAUAACAUUAUUACACAAUUCGCUUGUAUUUGCAUAAUUUUACAGACUAACGAGAUUGACCACGGUAUUGAAAGCAUGGUCCAAAAAGAAAAAUCUGUCGGACUCCUCGAUCAACGGGUUAACAAUGGGUUACACCGUGAAAGUCGUUUUCACCCCCGCGAAUGAUCGGCUCUCGCCCCUCCAGCGUUGGGACGAGCAUCGGUGAGUGAUUACGAACUGCAGCAGCUUCGUAGCCAGCAGUUUCUAUCAUUUUGGGCAACGCGAUGAGAGAUGGAUUUAAAGAGCGAUCCUUUUGCUGCGCUUUAAAUGCGGAUUUUGAAGAUACGUAAGGAAGUAUAUAGUUUAUAAAAGUAUAUGUAUUAAUAUUUGUAAUUUAUUACCAGUUAAUAAAAAUAAAGUGUUUUCGUCAAAA